GAUGAACGCUGGCGGCGUGCCUAAUACAUGCAAGUCGAGCGAACGGACGAGAAGCUUGCUUCUCUGAUGUUAGCGGCGGACGGGUGAGUAACACGUGGAUAACCUACCUAUAAGACUGGGAUAACUUCGGGAAACCGGAGCUAAUACCGGAUAAUAUUUUGAACCGCAUGGUUCAAAAGUGAAAGACGGUCUUGCUGUCACUUAUAGAUGGAUCCGCGCUGCAUUAGCUAGUUGGUACGGUAACAGCUUACCAAGGCAACGAUGCAUAGCCGACCUGAGAGGGGGAUCGGCCACACUGGAGCUGAGACACGGUCCAGACUCCUACGGGAGGCAGCAGUAGGGAAUCUUCCGCAAUGGGCGAAAGCCUGACGGAGCAACGCCGCGUGAGUGAUGAAGGUCUUCGGAUCGUAAAACUCUGUUAUUAGGGAAGAACAUAUGUGUAAGUAACUGUGCACAUCUUGACGGUACCUAAUCAGAAAGCCACGGCUAACUACGUG
rnacentral:rRNA from 1 species